AACGUAGGACACAAGCGUUGUUCGGAUUUACUGGGCGUAAAGGGCCAGUAGGCGGCCAACUAAGUCGGAUGUGAAAUCCCCAGGCUCAACUUGGGAACUGCAUCCGAUACUGGAUGGCUUGAAUUCGGGAGAGGGAUGCAGAAUUCCAGGUGUAGCGGUGAAAUGCGUAGAUAUCUGGAGGAAUACCGGUGGCGAAGGCGGCAUCCUGGACCGACAUUGACGCUGAACGGCGAAAGCUAGGGGAGCAAACGGG
rnacentral:rRNA from 1 species